UGCUCUCUCUCUAACCAUUCUCUUUCUUUUUCUAUAUCUAACUAUAUUCACUAAUUGUCUUCCACCAUUUGAUCUUGAUUUUGGAAAGGUUUGAGUUAGAUUUUGAAGAAGAGGAAGGAGGGAAGUUGGAGAGUUUAGCAUGAGCUUCAAAUUGAGGCCAAUAUUGCUAGGGUUUAGAAGGUUUUCGAAAUUUGGGGCUAGCUAAGGCCUUAUUUGGUUUGCUUCAUUAAGGAAUUCGGAGAUGAGCCAGUGAAUGAUAUGCAUCCAUGGACAUUAAUGUAGUUAGGAAUUCAUUUCAUUUUAUUUAUAUUAGAGCUAUGUAAUUUUGGCCAUGAAGGCCUCAUUCCUUGUAUUUAAUUCUUUUGAAAUUGUAUAAAAUGAGAUUUGUGUAAUUUGGUCUUUAAACGAUGUAUUGGGCUUGUAUUCGAUUUAAUUGAAGGCACGGGAGUUUAAUUAUGUUU